CCUACGGGCGGCAGCAGUGGGGGAUAUUGCACAAUGGGGGGAACCCUGAUGCAGCGACGCCGCGUGGGUGAAGAAGCGCCUCGGCGCGUAAAGCCCUGUCAGCAGGGAAGAAAAUGACGGUACCUGACUAAGAAGCCCCGGCUAACUACGUGCCAGCAGCCGCGGUAAUACGUAGGGGGCGAGCGUUAUCCGGAUUCACUGGGUGUAACGGGAGCGUGGACGGCCAUGCAAGCCAGGGGUGAAAGCCCGGGGCCCAACCCCGGGACUGCCCUUGGAACUGCAUGGCUGGAGUGCGGGAGGGGCAGGCGGAAUUCCUGGUGUAGCGGUGAAAGGCGUAGAUAUCAGGAGGAACACCGGCGGCGAAGGCGGCCUGCUGGACCGCGACUGACGUGGAGGCUCGAAAGCGUGGGGAGCGAACAGGAUUAGAUACCCUAGUAGUC
rnacentral:rRNA from 1 species